rnacentral:rRNA from 1 species
UAGGGAAUCUUCCACAAUGGACGCAAGUCUGAUGGAGCAACGCCGCGUGAGUGAAGAAGGUUUUCGGACCGUAAAGCUCUGUUGUUGGUGAAGAAGGAUAGAGGUAGUAACUGGCCUUUAUUUGACGGUAAUCAACCAGAAAGUCACGGCUAACUACGUGCCAGCAGCCGCGGUAAUACGUAGGUGGCAAGCGUUGUCCGGAUUUAUUGGGCGUAAAGCGAGCGCAGGCGGAAGAAUAAGUCUGAUGUGAAAGCCCUCGGCUUAACCGAGGAAUUGCAUCGGAAACUGUUUUCUUGAGUGCAGAAGAGGAGAGUAGAACUCCAUGUGUAGCGGUGGAAUGCGUAGAUAUAUGGAAGAAUACCAGUGGCGAAGGCGGCUCUCUGGUCUGCAACUGACGCUGAGGCUCGAAAGCAUGGGUAGCGAACAGGAUUAGAUACCCUUGGUAGUCC